UUUUAAAAAAAGAGAGAGAAUUAAAAAAAAUAUUCAAUUAAAAACUCCUGGAGGACAUCCUCCUCUGGCUGAUACUGGCAGAGAGAGAGAGAGAGAGAGAGAGAGAGAGAGAGAGAGAGAGAGAGAGAGAGAGAGAGAUAUUUUAGUUCAAACACUGUCUGACCAUGACUAAUAAGUGCUAAGGUGCACUCCUAAAUGCACACACACCCCUUAUACUCUGAAUGCAAGCAUUAGUUUAAAUUCACUGAUAUGGUGUCAGGAUAAAAAGAUUUAUUAAAAGCAUGAACAUGUGUAUAAUUAUUAGUGACAUGAGGCUACAUUUAGCUGACAGGACACGGGCUGAAUGGCGAUGCAUGGUGGUCCAUUAGGAGGUAGUUUAUAACACUGCAAUGCGUUAGCGUUUAACAAAUAACUGGAUAUCGCAAACAUUACAUGGAGCAUAAUGUUAGCUGAUUUCACGGCUACAAUGCCAGCUUCCUCAAGCAUAAUAUAGGACCUGUCUUUCGACUGUAAUCCUGUGGCAUUAAUUUUGUGACCUAAAAAUACCUCUACUUCUCCCAUGAACUCGCACUUGCUCCUUCUUUGUCUCAGUCCACUCUUUUCUAUCCUACUCAGUACCUCAUCCAAGUUCUGCAGAUGUUCAUUAGCCCCUGAGACUAAAAUGCCAUCCAGAUAAACUGUGACGCGUGUGAUGUCUUGCAGAAUCCCUUCUAUUGUGCACUGGAAGAUCGCUGGACUUGAAGCAACUCCAAAUGGUGGCCUGUUUGUCCAAAGCCCAGGCUGACCCCCCACCCCUUCAACCUUUGCAGCAAUGCUGGCAGCACUAUUUCCCAAAGACAACCUCUGGAUAUAACGCUGAGCACGUGCACUCAACUUCUUUGGUCGACCAUGUCGAGGCCUGUUCUGAGUGGAACCUGUCUUGUUAAACCGCUGUAUGGUCUUGGCCACUGUGCUGCAGCUCAGUGUCAGGGUCUUGGCAAUCUUCUUAAAGCCUAGGCCAUCUUUAUGUAGAGCAACAAUUCUUUUUUUCACAUCCUCAGAGAGUUCUUUGCCAUGAGGUGCCAUGCUGAACUUCCAGUGACCAGUAUGAGGGAGUGUGAGAGCGAUGACACCAAAUUUAACACAACUGCUCCCCAUUCACACCUGAGACCUUGUAACACUAACAAGUCACAUGACACCGGGGAGGGAAAAUGGCUAAUUGGGCCCGAUUUGGACAUUUUUACUUGGGGAUGUACUCACUUUUGUUGCCAGCGGUUUAGACAUUAAUGGCUGUGUGUUGAGUUAUUUUGAGGGGACAGCAAAUUUACACUGUUACUUUGCUACAAUGUAAAGUAGUGAGUGUACAGCUUGUGUGUCAUUUCUUCAGUGUUGUCACAUGAAAAGAUAUCAUCAAAUAUUUACAAAAAUGUGAGGGGUGUACUCACUUUUUUUGGGAAAUACUGUACAUCUUUUUAUUUACUUUAAUAUUUAUUCAUAGUGUGUGUGUGUGUGUGUGUGUGUGUGUGUGUGUGUGUGUGUGUGUGUGUGUAUGUAUGUAUAUAUAAAAUUAGUGUAUAUAUGUUUAUUUCAUUAGAAAAAGUGCAGUACAUUUUCAUGGUACGGUCAGUACUGUUUAUUUUUGUAAUAAAGUGAACUUAAUUUCUCCACUGAGUGUUAUAUUUUCAUUCAGUAGUAAUUGGUUAUUAGUAGGUGCUACCCGACUUUGUUAUCAGCAUCUGUAAGAUCCACUGUCGGUCAGCCUUUAAAAUAGAUUAAUGUGUAUGACAUGAUCUUCUUUAAUUAAUAAAGAAAUGCACUUGUUGACAACGUGCUGUGGUAUAAGGGGAAUAAAACACUUCAGAAUGUGCAGUUCUACCUUGGGGUGGUAUCGGUCACUCCACUUCAUUGGAUCGUUGACUACUUUCCUAUAACCGCAUAGUUAUUCCUUACAUAAAUUAAACAUAAAGCAUGUAGGGGAUCUACAUGCAUGUAGUAUUUGCACAAUCAAUAACCUAUUAGAGUAAUACAUUGUGGUAUAUAAACUGAACUUUGUGUUUGAUGUGUCUGCAGUGUCCAAAGCCCGUGGUGGUGGCAGUGCAUGGCGUGUGUGUGGAAGCAGGAGUGGAUCUAAUCACAGCCUGUGAUAUUCGUCUGUGCACACAGGAUGCCUGGUUUCAGGUGAAGGUAUGAGGAACAUUAACUUGCCAUACAUUGCUUGCUUACAUGUUUACACCAAGAUCUGUAAACAAGUUAUUUUUGUCCAUAUGAUCAUGUAUAGAGAUAGUAAGUGAUGAGAUGAUAAGAAUGGGCUCAUUGUUCUGACUUGUACAAGCCCCUAUGAAAGAGUUGACCACAAGGGGACGCACACUGAACAAUUAUUUACAUUUGCAGUUUGUUGAAGAUUAAAUAAACCACAGUGAGCAUCAGAUGUCUGGUUUUAAUACAAAGUGGACUAUUUUACGAUAUUACCAUCUUGUCAUUUAUCAAAGAAGAACUCCAAAACCUGAAAUUUGUUCAUUUUUAGACAGAAAA